UGGUCGGAAACAGAUAAUAUGCGGCUGAUAAGAGAAAACCGACAUCAGCCUACAAUCGGAAGUCGUCAUGUAUCCAAAUCAGUUUAAGUAGUCCAGAAGAAAGCUACUUAUUUAGUCUACUAACAAUAAGUUGAAUAGGCCAUGUUCUUUGCAUUAGUGUAGUGUUAAUAUUUUGCACAGUUUAUUUCUAUUCGUUUUGCAAUUUUACAUUGUGUUACAUCGUGAAUUAAAGAGAGAAGAAAAUAAAACAAUUAGAACGAAAUGGUGCUGAACAAAUUUGCAACCGUAUUUUGGCGGAGGUCCUCAUCUUACCGAUUGUUCUCGAGGCUCGUUUUCAUAAUAGGUACGAUUUUUACAGACAGUAUUAUGAUGAGAAUAUUAAUAACGAGCGAGUGAGAUUUCCGAUGAAAAACUCCGAAGAAUCGAAUUACGAUCAUAAUAUAAAAACAGAAACAAAUUCGCGUUUGAAAGAUGACAAGCGUACGAUCUUCGAUAGUAGUUUUGUAUUUCCGAAUGAUGGGCUGCAAUUGCGAAAUGACGAUGAUAGUUACAUAGAUGAUAUGAUCGAUUCAUUGUCACAGGCAAAUUGCGAUCACAAGAUGCAAACCUUUUGCGAAGAUGUCCCGAAUUAUCCCGCAAAAAUUGUGCAUCAAGCACUCGUGAGGAAUGCCAGCUUAUUGCAUUAUGCAAACGAGGAUGUUGUUAG